rnacentral:rRNA from 1 species
UACGUAGGGUGCGAGCGUUGUCCGGAAUUAUUGGGCGUAAAGGGCUCGUAGGCGGUUUGUCGCGUCGGGAGUGAAAGCCUUGGGCUUAACUCAGGGCUUGCUUUCGAUACGGGCAGACUAGAGGUAUGCAGGGGAGAACGGAAUUCCUGGUGUAGCGGUGAAAUGCGCAGAUAUCAGGAGGAACACCGGUGGCGAAGGCGGUUCUCUGGGCAUGAUCUGACGCUGAGGAGCGAAAGUGUGGGGAGCGAACAGG